rnacentral:rRNA from 1 species
UCCGUAGGGGGCAAGCGUUGUCCGGAUUUAUUGGGCGUAAAGAGCGUGUAGGCGGCUUGGAAGGUCAGCUGUGAAAACUCGAGGCUCAACCUCGAGACGUCGGUUGAAACCACCUGGCUAGAGUCCGGAAGAGGAGAGUGGAAUUCCCGGUGUAGCGGUGAAAUGCGCAGAUAUCGGGAAGAACACCCGUGGCGAAGGCGGCUCUCUGGGACGGUACUGACGCUGAGACGCGAAAGCGUGGGGAGCGAACAGG